ensembl:lncRNA
CCCUCCUUCACAAUUAGAGAAGCCCCAUGCGCAGCCAGAAGACGAAAUAAAUAAAUCUCCACCAAAGUUUUCAAUUAGCUGUUUUCCACGAGAACAGAUACCUCCUGUUCAGCCCCACGUUCGUUCCUCUGGGAGGUACGAGCAUAAAGAAAAUGCCAGCCUUCGCUGCAGCAACCAACUCCGGUCAGGUGUGGUUGACAGCACCUCCCCUCAGCUUCACCAACAGUCUCUUCCAUGCUGCACCAUUGGCUUCUUUGCCGCCUCUGUGGCUGUCUGUGGGGAACUUCUCAGUCAUUCCAAACCAUGGGCAAAGCCGGAAGUGCAAGGGAACUGACACACACCUCGGCUGCUCGGGCGCCUUCUCCCUUCUCUCGUGUGACUUGUCAAUCCUGAGACAUUUUCACACAGCUCCUCAGGAGGUUCCCACGGUGACUCAAUGCCAGUUCUUCACUGCAGCAACUGUCUUGCCAAAGCGUCCUGGGAUUGGCUUUCCCCUCUUACCUGCUUCACUCUUUCUAGUUUCCCACUUUUGUUUCUGGAAUUACUUCCGAAAAAAAAUCUCAGGGUUCAGCUUUUUAGGGGAACCCAGAAAACACUGAGAUAAAAGAAGGGGGCAAACUAUAAAUACUGAUCAAACUCAUUGUGUGGAGAAUGUUCUAACAGACCUUCUAUUUGAAGAGGGACAUAAGGGAACGAGGGGGCUUGAUUGUCCUUUGUAACACACACUGCGAAGUCUGUGGACCACUAAUUAGAAAUUGCAGUUAAAAAUAGAAGAACUCUAAAGAUCCAGCUGGCAAGAAUUAUGAAUGGGAGAACAGCUAACUCAUAAAGAAGAGGCCCUGAUGGAUAACCUCAGACCAUUCAGACCUUGGACAGAAGAAGAAUGGGCCCCUUGGUCCAUAGAGCCACACUUUAUUUACCCCAGGGCCAGCAUUAUGGGCAUUUGCUUUCUUAGUGAAUUUUAAUUACUUGCAAAAUAAACCUCAUUUUGUGUGGGAUUCUUCUGUUCUGGGAGUUUUAGACGUAAGAGUGUUGUCUGGGGUCUCUUGAACAUCUGAGGUCGGUGACACCUUGGAACGCAGUCUGAAUCCCAAGAGUAUGCUUUGAUUCUGUGAGUUUUGCUCACAGGUCUUAAGGCACUGUUGGGAAGGAUUCCCGUUUGGCCUUCUCUUAGUGGGCUUUUCAGGUGGUGCUGGUAGUAAGGAACCUGCCUGCCAAUGCAGGAGAUGAGGUUUCCAUCCCUGUGUUGGGAAGAUGCCCUGGGGGAGGGCAUGGCAACCCACUCC